GCAAGUCGAGCGGUAACAGAUCGCUAGGAUCCCUUCGGGGUGACUUUCAUGCUGACGAGCGGUGGACGGGUGAGUAACGCGUAGGAAUCUACCCAGUAGCGGGGCAUAGCCCGGGGCAACCUGGAUUAAUACCGCAUACGCCCUACGGGGGAAAGGGGGGGAACGCUUCGGAGACCUCUCACUAUUGGAGGAGCCUGCGUUGGAUUAGCUAGUUGGUGAGGUAAAGGCUCACCAAGGCGACGAUCCAUAGCUGGUCUGAGAGGACGAUC
rnacentral:rRNA from 1 species